AGACGAGAAGACCCUAUGGAGCUUUAGACGCCCACCAAUCACGAAAAGCAGGUCUCGCUCAACGGACCCCCAAACAACGUGAUACUGGCACAAACGUCUUCGGUUGGGGCGACCGCGGGAGAGAAAGAAGCUCCCGAGAGGAUUGGGGCUACCCUAAAACCAAGAGCUACACCUCUAAGUCACAAAACAUUUGACCAAAAAUGAUCCGGCUACAUGCCGAUUAACGAACCAAGUUACCCUAGGGAUAACAGCG
rnacentral:rRNA from 1 species